GACGAACGCUGGCGGCGUGCUUAACACAUGCAAGUCGGGCGGUAAGGCCCUUUCGGGGGUACGACGAGCGGCGAACGGGUGAGUAACACGUGGGUGACCUGUCCUCAGCUCUGGGAUAAGCCUGGGAAACGUAGGGUCUAAUACUGGAUAUGACUCCACGGUGCAUGUCGUGGGGUGGAAAGCCUUGUGCGGCUGAGGAUGGGCCCGCGGCCUAUCAGCUUGUUGGUGGGGUGAUGGCCUACCAAGGCGACGACGGGUAGCCGGCCUGAGAGGGCGACCGGCCACACUGGGACUGAGACACGGCCCAGACUCCUACGGGAGGCAGCAGUGGGGAAUCUUGCGCAAUGGGCGAAAGCCUGACGCAGCGACGCCGCGUGAGGGAUGACGGCCU
rnacentral:rRNA from 1 species